AUUGAACGCUGGCGGCAGGCUUAACACAUGCAAGUCGAGCGGAGCGAGGGUGCUUGCACCUUAGCUCAGCGGCGGACGGGUGAGUAAUGCUUAGGAAUCUGCCUAUUAGUGGGGGACAACAUUCCGAAAGGGAUGCUAAUACCGCAUACGCCCUACGGGGGAAAGCAGGGGAUCUUCGGACCUUGCGCUAAUAGAUGAGCCUAAGGCGGAUUAGCUAGUUGGUGGGGUAAAGGCCUACCAAGGCGACGAUCUGUAGCGGGUCUGAGAGGAUGAUCCGCCACACUGGGACUGAGACACGGCCCAGACUCCUACGGGAGGCAGCAGUGGGGAAUAUUGGACAAUGGGCGGAAGCCUGAUCCAGCCAUGCCGCGUGUGUGAAGAAGGCCUUUUGGUUGUAAAGCACUUUAAGCGAGGAGGAGGCUACUAGUAUUAAUACUACUGGAUAGUGGACGUUACUCGCAGAAUAAGCACCGGCUAACUCUGUGCCAGCCGCCGCUGUAA
rnacentral:rRNA from 1 species